GUGCCAGCCGCUGCGGUAAUACGGAGGGGCUAGCGUUGUUCGGAAUUACUGGGCGUAAAGCGCACGUAGGCGGAUAUUUAAGUCAGGGGUGAAAUCCCGGGGCUCAACCCCGGAACUGCCUUUGAUACUGGGUAUCUUGAGUUCGAGAGAGGUGAGUGGAAUUCCGAGUGUAGAGGUGAAAUUCGUAGAUAUUCGGAGGAACACCAGUGGCGAAGGCGGCUCACUGGCUCGAUACUGACGCUGAGGUGCGAAAGCGUGGGAGCAAACAGGAUUAGAUACCCUGGUAGUCCACGCCGUAAACGAUGAAUGCCAGUCGUCGGUGCGCAUGCGUAUCGGUGACACACCUAACGGAUUAAGCAUUCCGCCUGGGGAGUACGGUCGCAAGAUUAAAACUCAAAGGAAUUGGAACGGGGCCCGCGACAAGCGGUGGAGCAUGGUGGUUUAAUUCGAAGCAACGCGCAGAACCUUACCACCUU
rnacentral:rRNA from 1 species